AUGGAACUGCUGCUCGUGCAAGCAACGCUUGAAAAUGCCGGCCGCAAGGAGAUCGGUGGCCCGGCCAUGGAGGAGCUGCUGCAGAGGCUGCGGGACUCGGCGCACAAUGCCCAAGACUUGCUGGACGAGCUGGACUACUUCCGCAUCCACGACGAGCUCCAUGGCACGUACAAUGCUGCCGACCAGCACGACAAGGGUGUCUUCCACGACCUUGCCCUCAAUGCUCGCCACACUGCCAAAGCUGUUGGCAAACUGGUUAGCUGUUGCCCUUGGCAGCAUGCUAAGCGCCGGCAGAGGUCACCCGGCGAAUCCUCCUCAGCACAAGACACCAAUCAAGAAGUCAACGGAUGCAUGCCCAAGCUGAUUGGUAAACUCCUACCUUGCUCAUCCUCCCAGGAUCCACAUAUUCGUGAGAAAGAUUGUGGCAGUGUGCAAGAAAUGGCAAAGUUUGAGUUUAAUAGGGUUGAUUUCUCUCGAAAGAUGAAGGACAUCAUAGAGAAAUUGCAGCUUGUGCGGAAGAAUGUUAAUGGCCUUUUGCAGAGUUGUGACCCUAGAAGUGUCUCAGACAUUGCCCAGUGUCGUCCUAUCACCAAGGGUCGAAUUGAUGAGCCAAAACUGUAUGGGAGGGACCGUGUCAUGGAUAGCAUUAUACAGAACAUCACCAAGGGUCAAUACGGUGACAAGGGUAUAACUGUGCUUCCGGUUGUUGGUUCAGGGGGAAUGGGGAAGACAACUCUCAUACAACACGUAUAUCGCAGCCAACAAGUGCAGGAACACUUUCCAGUCAUGAUCUGGAUAUGUGUGUCACUCCAUUUCAAUCUGGAUAAGGUGCUAGAGCAGAUUAAAACAUGUACCCCUGCAGUUGAAAAGGAAAAAAGUGGCAGUACAACUGAAGAUUUGAUUGAGCAAAGAUUAAAAUCUAAAAGGUUCUUACUUGUAUUGGAUGAUAUAUGGAAGAUUAAUAAUGGGAAUGACUGGGGAAAAUUAUUGUCGACACUCAAUAAAUCAAAGGAAAAGGGUUCCAUGAUUCUCGUCACAACUCGGUUUCAAGCAAUAGCAAAGAAGGUUGAAACACCUGGCCACUCAAUUAAGCUGAAUGGUUUAGAGUGUAAAGAGUUUAGAAAGUUAUUCCUUGCAUUUGUCUUUGGUGAUGAGCAAUAUCCAAGGGAUAAACAAUUUUUGCUUGAGACUGGAGAUAAGAUAAUGGAAAAACUAAAGGGCUCCCCUCUUGCGGCAAAAACGGUUGGUAGAUUACUGAGUAAAGACCUUAGUUUGCGUCACUGGAAAAGGGUCCUAAAAAGUAAAGGAUGGGAGAAGCAGAACGAUGACAAUGCAAUUAUGCCUGCCUUGAAGCUUAGCUAUGACUUUCUUCCUUUCCAUCUGCAACAAUGUUUUGCCUAUUCUGGAUUGUUUCCUGAAGAUUACAAUUUCAGAAGUGACGAGCUGAUCAGUCUAUGGAUUGGACUAGAUAUUUUGAAACCCAAUGGGCAAGACCAAAUAUUUGAAGACAUAGGUCUGAGCAAUUUAAAUGAGUUAGUCAUCCAUGGAUUUUUCAGAGAAGAGAAAACUUAUUAUGGUAUGCGUUAUGUUAUGCAUGACCUGCUGCAUGAUUUGGCAUUGAAGGUUGCAUCUCAUGAUUGUCUUAGUCUAAGUCUCCCUAGUGUUGGAUCAGUAGAGAUUCAGCCAACCACCCGUCACUUGUCUAUAAGCACAUAUGGUUUAGUGUCUGGUAAAAAAUUGAAGAGUGAAUUGGAAGAACUAAAGACAAGAUUUAAGGUUGAAGAAUUGCAAGCAUUGAUGUUAUUUGGAAAAAUGGAUGAAGGUUUUGUCAAGAUAUUUGGUGAUUUUUUGGGGGAAGUGAACACUCUUCGUGUUCUUCAUUUGCCCAAAAUGCUUUGUCCCGUGGAGUUCAUGUUACAUAACUUUUCGGGACUUCUCCACCUACGAUACCUAUGUCUAGGGACACAUGACAUCCAGAUGCAUUUACCACUUAGCAUCUCUAAAAUUUAUCAUUUAAGGAUUUUAGAUCUUAAAUGGUGGAAUGGCAGUCGUGAUUUGCCUGAUGACAUGAGCAACCUUGCCAAAUUGUGCCAUUCUUAUGUCCCAAAUGAUGAUAAGCUUCAUUCUGAUAUUUAUAAUGUGGGAAAGCUUAAACUCUUAGAAGAGUUAAAGGUAUUUGAAGUCAAUAAAAAAUGUGAAGGGUUUGAACCAAAGCAACUAGAGCACUUGACCAAGCUAAGGGAGCUUGGCAUCUACAACGUUGAGAAGAUAGAUACAACAGAAGAAGCAGCUCAAGCAAAACUGAUGGAGAAAAAUUACUUGAGGAGGUUAACAUUGGACUGGGAUAGUAAGCGAUCUAGUGUUGAUCCUGGUGUGGAAGCAGCGGUUCUUGAGAGCCUUCAUCCACAUGGAGAUCUUCAGGUGUUGUGCAUUAGAGGGCACGGAGGUCCUUCUUGUCCAACAUGGCUGGGUGAUGAGUUCGCUGCUGAAGGUCUACAAGCUCUUUAUCUGUAUGGUGUUUCUUGGGAAGUUUUUCCUUCUUUAGGGAAGGCGUGGGAUCUUCGUGAAUUAAGGUUUGAGCAUAUUGCCAGGCCGAAGGAGUUUACUAUAGAGAAAAGCUUUUGCAUGCUAAUAAAGUUUGAACUCAUUGGCCUAGGAAGUUUUGAAAAAUGGAUUUUCCCAGCUGAACGAGAUUCUUCCCUGGAUGGAGAGCGGUUGCCAACGGAUGCUCAUACGUUCCCUCUCUUGCAAGUGCUGAUUAUUAAAGAGUGCCCGAAAUUCUUAGAGUUUCCAAUUUCAAACCAUAUUCUUUAUCCUAAACUACAGGAGCUCAAGAUACAGGACUGUCCAGAAUUCUUGUCUCCCAUCUCCUGGACUGAAAGUCUGCGUAAUGUCGAGUUAGCAAAUGUGAAACUAUUAAAGAGGUUUACAUACUCAGGAUCAUCCGGUGGAGCAGAAUUGAAAAUUACCGGAGAGAGUGAUCUGCUUAGCUUAGACCAAGUGUUACUUUUCAGUAAAGAAACAGGUAUUGAGAAGCUGACACUGGACAAGUGCCCACCUCUGGAGUUGAAGCACCUUCUGAUGCUAACCUCGCUGAGGACAUUGAUUGUAAAAGAAUCAGUUGGUCUAGUUGGACCACUAGGAGGAGGUCAGAGUGAUGUGGAAUGGCAGCUCCCUGUUGAGUAUAUCAAGAUCUACAAAUUAAAUGGUAAUACUGGCAAGGAACUGACAGAGCUCCUCCCCCACCUCCCAAAGCUCUCCAAAUUGGUAAUAUGGUGGUGUAAAAGCAUAAAAAAGCUGGUAGUGGGGGUGGAUGUGCAACAAACAACACAAGAAGCAUCAGAGAUGGGGGGAGGUGAAAUAACAGCAGCAGCAGAGGAAGAGGAUGAUGGGGUGCUGCUCCUCCCAGCUCAUCUCUGUGACUCACUACGGGAAUUGUGGUUCAAUUACUGCCCAGAGCUGGUCCUGGUUGACCCUCCAACUCUUGUUCCUGGUGGAGGAUGGCUCCAAGCCUUGCGAUCCCUCCAGAGAUUAACAAUACGGUGGUCCCCAAAGUUUCUAUCCACCUUCUCCUUUUCCCGUUACCUUUUUCCUUCCUCCCUGCAGUUCCUGGAGCUUGUGGGUGUGCAAGGUAUGGGAACACUGGAGCCCCUCUCAAACCUCUCCUCUCUUAUCAGAUUAGAAUUGGGUAAUUGUGGAGAGGAUCUGAAAUGUCAGGUCUUGUGGUCUCUCAUUACCACCGGCGGCCAACUCAAGGAAUUAGAAGUCAGGGGCAGCCAUAGAUUUUUUGCUGAUCGGGAUCCCAAUCCCAGACGGGCUUUGGAGGAUGCUGAGGGAGGUGAAGAGCAGCAGACACAGAUUGUUUCAUCCACACUGCAUGAGCUCGGGACAGAUGACAUAGCAGGAUUUCUUGCUGCACCUGUCUGUAGAUUCCUCUCUUCCUCCCUCACCAAGCUGAAACUUCGAGGGAAUUGGUGUGAAGGGAUGGAGCGGUUCAGCAAGGAGCAAGAGGACGCCCUUCAACUCCUCUCCUCCCUCCAGGAACUUGACUUUUCAUGUUUCAAGGACCUUCACCAACUCCCUGCAGGGAUGAGCAACCUUACCAGCCUCAAGAAAUUAACAAUCUAUGAAUGUCCAGCCCUCUCAUCAUUGCCCAAGGAUGGCCUCCCCAAAUCACUGCAAGAGCUAAAUGUCGGAUUGUGCAGCAACCAGCAGAUAAGACGGGAGUGCCGCGGAUUAGAGGGAACCAUCCCGAAAAUCGUACUAUAA
rnacentral:rRNA from 1 species